rnacentral:rRNA from 1 species
UAUUGGGCAAUGGAGGAAACUCUGACCCAGCGACGCCGCGUGAGGGAUGAAGGCCUUCGGGUUGUAAACCUCUUUCAGUAGGGAAGAAGCGAAAGUGACGGUACCUACAGAAGAAGCACCGGCUAACUAUGUGCCAGCAGCCGCGGUAAUACAUAGGGUGCAAGCGUUGUCCGGAAUUAUUGGGCGUAAAGAGCUCGUAGGUGGUUCGAUACGUCGGAUGUGAAAAUCAGGGGCUCAACCCCUGACCUGCAUCCGAUACGGUCGAGCUAGAGUUUGGUAGGGGAGACUGGAAUUCCUGGUGUAGCGGUGGAAUGCGCAGAUAUCAGGAGGAACACCGAUGGCGAAGGCAGGUCUCUGGGCCAAUACUGACACUGAGAGCGAA